rnacentral:misc_RNA from 2 species
AACUUCCGGCAACGGAUCACUUGGUUCUGGCAUCGAUGACGAACGCAGCGAAAUGCGAUAAGUAAUGUGACUUGCAGAAUUCAGUGAAUCAUCGAAUCUUUGAACGCACAUUGCGCCCUCUGGUAUUCCAGGGGGCAUGCCUGUUCGAGCGUCAUUACAACCCUCACGCUCCGCGUGGUGUUGGGCUCGCCCUGUAGGGCCUGCCUCAAAGUCAGUGGCGGCGCCAUCUGACCCCUAAGCGUAGUAAUACAUCUCGUUUCUGGGUGUUAGAUGGAGGCCUGCCAUGAACCCCCACCUUACAGUGUUGACCUCGGAUCAGGUAGGGAUACCCGCUGAACUUAAGCAUAUCAAUAAGCGGAGGCU